UGCCAGGAGAGGGAUUCGAAACUUCGUCGCACACUGCGAAUCAGAGGUGCCAGUAUCGGUGGCAUACCAAUCAUUUUACAUUACUACAUAUACACACUAUCUACAUAUCAAUUCAUCUGUUAUUUACAAUAAUCUAUAUACACUUGCUACAGUUUCCGUUUUGUUGGGGAUGUGAGAGAGACACCAGUGAGGUUUAUGGCUCUGAUGCCAUGACCACUCUGCCAUCCUGGC